rnacentral:rRNA from 1 species
AACGAACGCUGGCGGCAUGCCUAACACAUGCAAGUCGAACGAAGCCUUCGGGCUUAGUGGCGCACGGGUGCGUAACACGUGGGAAUCUGCCCUUCGGUUCGGAAUAACAGUUAGAAAUGACUGCUAAUACCGGAUGAUGACGAAAGUCCAAAGAUUUAUCGCCGAAGGAUGAGCCCGCGUAGGAUUAGGUAGUUGGUAGGGUAAUGGCCUACCAAGCCGACGAUCCUUAGCUGGUCUGAGAGGAUGAUCAGCCACACUGGGACUGAGACACGGCCCAGACUCCUACGGGAGGCAGCAGUGGGGAAUAUUGGACAAUGGGCGAAAGCCUGAUCCAGCAAUGCCGCGUGAGUGAUGAAGGCCUUAGGGUUGUAAAGCUCUUUUACCAGGGAUGAUAAUGACAGUACCUGGAGAAUAAGCUCCGGCUAACUCCGUGCCAGCAGCCGCGGUAAUGUACAGUGU